rnacentral:rRNA from 1 species
UACGAAGGGGGCGAGCGUUGUUCGGAAUUACUGGGCGUAAAGAGCGCGCAGGCGGUCGUUCAAGUCGCGUGUGAAAGCCCCCGGCUCAACUGGGGAGGGUCACGCGAUACUGAUCGACUCGAAGGCAGGAGAGGGUAGUGGAAUUCCCGGUGUAGUGGUGAAAUGCGUAGAUAUCAGGAGGAACACCUGUGGUGUAGACGGCUCUCUGGACCGCAACUGACGCUGAGACACGAAAGCGUGGGUAGCAAACAGG